UUCUGUGUCUGCUCAGUCUUGAUUUGACACCCUGUGAUGACUUUGCGUGAGUUUAACUUUUUUUUUUCUCUAAGAUCUUUGUUACCUGUUUUUGGAUAACUUUUGUUGGAACUGUUUAACUGCCUGGACUGAGUUUCCUUGCCUGGAGGUUUUCUGAGGUUUUUGUUUGCCCUGUUUUUGGAUAUUUUACUCAAGUAAAGACUCUUUGACUUGAACAAAUCUCUACUGAACUUCACCUUGUCUCUCCAUCUGAGUGUCUAACACCUCCAGAUGAGGACCAUUUUCUGCAUUAUCUUCAGUCUGUUUUACGGGGUAUCCUCAAAAACCAUCAAUGUUGCCUCGAAUGGGAUACUAUCUUUACAGCCCCUGGUUGAAGGAGAGAUAGAAGACAUUCUGUGGAGGCACAAUGGCAACAAGAUGGUGGGAGUGGGACAAAAAGGCUGGAAACGUCAGAGAAUAUUUAAAAUUCAAGGGGCGGAUUAAGUUGGAUGUAAAAAACUGGGGAUGCAACUAUUAUAAAUCUGGCCAAAAGAUGACAGUGGAUUGUAUGACGCAGACAUUAUAAUUCAAGGAAGGAUCAUCAGCAGAAAGCACAGAGUUGAAGUAACUGGUAAGCAAAACAAGCUUUAUUCACCUAAUGACACAUUCUGAAAGGGGAACAUUCUCUACAGACUCUUUACAGUUAUUGAGGUAAACAGACACAGAUC
ensembl:lncRNA